CACACAUGUCGGUUGGCAGGAGGAGGACGGCAGAGACAAAGAGACAAAGGAAAAGAAGUAAACUCACUUCACAAAACGCAUUGGGAAAAGGACUCAAAUCAAAAGGGCUACCGGUUUUUCACCUUUCUUCAUUGGUCAUUGGAAAAUAAACUAAGAACGAGUGAA